rnacentral:rRNA from 1 species
AGCGAACGCUGGCGGCAGGCCUAACACAUGCAAGUCGAACGAACCUUUCGGGGUUAGUGGCGGACGGGUGAGGAACACGGGGGAACGUGCCUGUAGGUUCGGAAUAACUCAGGGUAACUUGUGCUAAUACCGAAUGUGCCCUUCGGGGGAAUGAGUUAUCGCCUUUAGAGCGGCCCGCGUCUGCUUAGCUGGUUGGUUGAGGUAAUGGCUCACCAAGGCGACGAUCAGUGGCUGGUCUGUGAGGAGGAUCCGCCACAUUGGGACUGCGACACGGCCCACUCUCCUACGGGAGGCAGCAGUGGGGAGUCUUGCGCAAGGGGCGAAAGCCUGACGCCGCCAUGCCGCGUGAAUGAUGAAGGUCUUAGGAUUGUAAAAUUCUUUCAGCGGGGACGAUAAUGACGGUACCCGGAGAAGAAGCCCCGGCUAACUUCGUG